CGAACGCUGGCGGCGUGCUUAACACAUGCAAGUCGAACGGUAAGGCCCCAGCUUGCUGGGGUACACGAGUGGCGAACGGGUGAGUAACACGUGGGUGACCUGCCCCGCACUUCGGGAUAAGCCUGGGAAACUGGGUCUAAUACCGGAUAGGACCGCACCGUGAGGGUGUGGUGGAAAGUUUUUCGGUGUGGGAUGGGCCCGCGGCCUAUCAGCUUGUUGGUGGGGUAAUGGCCUACCAAGGCGGCGACGGGUAGCCGGCCUGAGAGGGUGGACGGCCACAUUGGGACUGAGACACGGCCCAGACUCCUACGGGAGGCAGCAGUGGGGAAUAUUGCACAAUGGGCGGAAGCCUGAUGCAGCGACGCCGCGUGGGGGAUGACGGCCUUCGGGUUGUAAACUCCUUUCACCAUCGACGAAGGUUUUCUGACGGUAGAUGGAGAAGAAGCACCGGCUAACUACGUGCCAGCAGCCGCGGUAAUACGUAGGGUGCGAGCGUUGUCCGGAAUUACUGGGCGUAAAGAGCUCGUAGGUGGUUUGUCGCGUCGUCUGUGAAAUUCCGGGGCUUAACUCCGGGCGUGCAGGCGAUACGGGCAUAACUUGAGUACUGUAGGGGAGACUGGAAUUCCUGGUGUAGCGGUGAAAUGCGCAGAUAUCAGGAGGAACACCGGUGGCGAAGGCGGGUCUCUGGGCAGUAACUGACGCUGAGGAGCGAAAGCAUGGGUAGCGAACAGGAUUAGAUACCCUGGUAGUCCAUGCCGUAAACGGUGGGCGCUAGGUGUAGGGGUCUUCCACGACUUCUGUGCCGUAGCUAACGCAUUAAGCGCCCCGCCUGGGGAGUACGGCCGCAAGGCUAAAACUCAAAGGAAUUGACGGGGGCCCGCACAAGCGGCGGAGCAUGUGGAUUAAUUCGAUGCAACGCGAAGAACCUUACCUGGGCUUGACAUAUACGGGACCGGGCCAGAGAUGGUCCUUCCCUUGUGGCUCGUAUACAGGUGGUGCAUGGUUGUCGUCAGCUCGUGUCGUGAGAUGUUGGGUUAAGUCCCGCAACGAGCGCAACCCUUGUCUUAUGUUGCCAGCACGUAAUGGUGGGGACUCGUGAGAAACUGCCUGUCCCAAACUUCUAGGAAGGUGGGGAUGACGUCAAAUCAUCAUGCCCCUUAUGUCCAGGGCUUCACACAUGCUACAAUGGUCGGUACAGUGGGUUGCGAUGCCGUGAGGUGGAGCUAAUCCCUGAAAGCCGGUCUCAGUUCGGAUCGGGGUCUGCAACUCGACCCCGUGAAGUCGGAGUCGCUAGUAAUCGCAGAUCAGCAACGCUGCGGUGAAUACGUUCCCGGGCCUUGUACACACCGCCCGUCACGUCAUGAAAGUCGGUAACACCCGAAGCCAGUGGCCCAACCCUUGUGGGGGGGAGCUGUCGAAGGUGGGAUCGGCGAUUGGGACGA
rnacentral:rRNA from 1 species